rnacentral:lncRNA from 1 species
UGUUUACACACGAGGAAACCGAAGCUCAGAGGGGUCAACGGACCCGACUCAAGGCUGCCCAGCUGGAAAAUGGCAGAGCUGCCUCUGGAACGCUGGCGUAUUGACUUCCAAAGCCCAUCCAGACUGCCUCCCAGCAGAGGAGACCUUGUCACCAUAUUGAUUACGGGGAGAGACCAAAAGCUACUGCCAUCUCCUAUCCUGAUUUCUCUCUCUCUGGCGGGGACUUGCAACAUUCGAUGACACCUACAUUGGUAUCCAGUGAACUGCGGCCACCAUUCCCUAAAGGCCUGCGGGAAACGGCCAGGGGGCCCGAGAGGUGUGACCAGGAAUCCUGCUUCUUCCCGUGGAGGAUCCAAUCCAAGACCCCACAUUCCACUUAAUUCAGAGACUUUUUAAAAUUCCUUCCUUCACUUCUAAGCACCGGAGUCUCACUGUUUACCAUCACUCCCUCCACCUACGCCUGCCCACCCCAACGUCACCAGCCCGAUCAGAAGGAAACGCAUCAUCUCAGAGCAGAAUGGAAGUUACCAAAACAGAUGACGCAGAGGAGGCAGAACUACUGAGGAUUCAAGGAAAUUUAACAAAAAGUGAAACCAGUGACAUCUUUACACAGGAAAGAUGUGCCUGUGCACACACACCCCCCACAUCAUUUACAAAAAGAACUUGGCCUAAGGUGCUGCUUCCACUAUGGAAGAGCAAAGAAAUUUAAGCAGACGCGUUUCUGUUUCUUGAGUCUCACCAGCAAGUAAGAAAUCCCCUUCAAUUUCUCUCUCUUCGAAUACCCCAACCACCCCAAGAAGG